rnacentral:rRNA from 1 species
UACGGAGGGUGCAAGCGUUAUCCGGAAUCACUGGGUUUAAAGGGUGCGUAGGUGGCAUUGUAAGUCAGAUGUGAAAGUUUGCGGCUUAACCGUAAAAUUGCUUUUGAUACUGCGAUGCUUGAAUCAGGUUGAGGUUGGCGGAAUGUGGCAUGUAGCGGUGAAAUGCUUAGAUAUGCCAUAGAGCACCGAUUGCGAAGGCAGCUGACUGGACCUGUAUUGACGCUGAGGCACGAAAGCGUGGGGAGCGAACAGG